UUAACUAUUAUAUAGUACUCAGACAUUAUAGACAAACAGAGUUUAGGUCCUCUGGCAGGCGCUCGCCGGCCGGAGCCGGCAGCCCGAGGGCAGGCCUGCCAAAGCAACAAAGGUGUAAUAAACAAAGGGUGGUAUAGAAGACCCCAGCCCAGAGGGCCAGGGGACUAUAACUUUAAUGAUCCUUCCGCAGGUUCACCUACGGAAA
rnacentral:misc_RNA from 1 species